UACAGAGGGGGCAAGCGCUGUUCGGAAUUACUGGGCGUAAAGGGCGCGUAGGCGGCCUUCUAAGUCGAACGUGAAAUCCCCGGGCUCAACCCGGGAACUGCGUCCGAUACUGGAAGGCUUGAAUCCGGGAGAGGGAUGCGGAAUUCCAGGUGUAGCGGUGAAAUGCGUAGAUAUCUGGAGGAACACCGGUGGCGAAGGCGGCAUCCUGGACCGGCAUUGACGCUGAGGCGCGAAAGCCAGGGGAGCAAACGGG
rnacentral:rRNA from 1 species